rnacentral:ncRNA from 1 species
CAAGGUCUUGGUCUUAAACCCCUUAUUACUUUCACCCCCUAAUUAUACAUGCAAGCCUCACCAUUACAGUGAAAUAGCCCACCAACACACCAACCGGAGCUGGUAUCAGGCAAUAGCCCAAAACGCCAAGCAUAACCUAAGCCACACCCCCACGGGCCAGCAGCAGUAAAUAAUAUUAGGCUAUGAGCGUAAGCUUGACCUAGCAAGGGGGCGUCAGGGCCGGUAAAUACCCGUGCCAGCGACCGCGGUUACACGAUAGGCCCAAAAUAAUAUUAACGGCGUAAAGCACGACUAAAAAUAAGUUAAAACAUUAGGAACGAAGCCAAACCGGGCCGUAAAAAGCCAUAAGCCACACUAACCACACCCUAACAACAAACAACUUCAACUCGUGAAAGUUAGGGUACAAACUAAGAUUAGAUACCUUACUAUGCCUAACCAUAACACAACAAUCAAAUUACCAAUUGUUCGCCAAAUAACUACGAGUAAAAACUUAAAAUUUAAAAGACUUGACGGUGCCUCAAAAUCAGCCUAGAGGAGCCUGUCUAAUAACCGAUACCCCACGCUUAACCCAACCCACCCUAGCCAAACAGUCUAUAUACCGCCGUCGCCAGCCUACCUUAUGAAAGAAACAAAGUGAGCUAAAUAGUAACGCACUAACACGACAGGUCGAGGUGUAACUUAUGGGGGGGACUAAGAUGGGCUACAUUUUCUAAACCAGAAAACACGAAUUAACCCAUGAAAAAGAAACUGAAGGCGGAUUUAGAAGUAUGCCAGGAGCAACUAACCCCACAGAAAUCAAUGCAAUGAGGCGCGUACACACCGCCCGUCAUCCCUGUCAAUCAACUACAAAACAUACAUUAAACCAAAACUAACACUUAAACAGGGCAAGUCGUAACAUGGUAAGCGUACUGGAAAGUGCGCUUAGAAA